GCUGGGUGUGUUGGUGCACAUCCGUAAUCCCAGCUACUCUGGAGGCUGAGGCAGGAGGAUCGCAAGUUUGAGGCCAGCUUCAGCAAUUUAGUGAGACCCUAAGCAACUUAGUGAGACCCUGUCUCAA
rnacentral:sRNA from 1 species